UGGGGAAUAUUGCACAAUGGAGGGAACUCUGAUGCAGCGACGCCGCGUGAGUGAUGACGGAACUCGUUUCGUAAAACUCUGUUCUUUGGGAAGAAAAGGACUGUACCAUAGGAGAAAGCUCCGGCUAAAUACGUGCCAGCAGCCGCGGUAAUACGUAUGGAGCGAGCGUUGUCCGGAAUUAUUGGGCGUAAAGGGUGCGCAGGCGGCUUUACAAGUUGGAUGUGAAAUAUUGUGGCUCAACCACAAAAGUGCAUCCAAAACUGCAAAGCUUGAGUUAAGGAGAGGUAAGUGGAAUUCCUGGUGUAGCGGUGGAAUGCGUAGAUAUCAGGAGGAAUACCGGUGGCGAAGGCGACUUACUGGACAUAAACUGACGCUCAGGCACGAAAGCGUGGGGAGCAAACAGG
rnacentral:rRNA from 1 species